rnacentral:rRNA from 1 species
UACGUAGGUGGCAAGCGUUGUCCGGAAUUAUUGGGCGUAAAGAGCGUGUAGGCGGUCCGGUAAGUCAGCUGUGAAAGUCAAGGGCUCAACCCUUGAAUGCCGGUUGAUACUGUCGGGCUAGAGUCCGGAAGAGGCGAGUGGAAUUCCCGGUGUAGCGGUGAAAUGCGCAGAUAUCGGGAGGAACACCAGUAGCGAAGGCGGCUCGCUGGGCCACACCUGACGCUGAGACGCGAAAGCUAGGGGAGCGAACAGG